rnacentral:sRNA from 1 species
UGUAUCUGAAGUCUGACGAGGAUGAGAACCUCCGGGGGCAAGAGGUUCGACUCGAGCGAAGCGAGAGAACGUUGCGUCAGCAACGGCCCGCAGGGCGAGCCACGCAGUGGCGAGUCAUCCUCUAUCACUGACCA